UGGGGAAUAUUGGACAAUGGGCGAAAGCCUGAUCCAGCCAUGCCGCGUGUGUGAAGAAGGCCUUUUGGUUGUAAAGCACUUUAAAGCGAGGAGGAGGCUACUUGGAUUAAUACUCUAGGAUAGUGGACGUUACUCGCAGAAUAAGCACCGGCUAACUCUGUGCCAGCAGCCGCGGUAAUACAGAGGGUGCGAGCGUUAAUCGGAUUUACUGGGCGUAAAGCGUGCGUAGGCGGCUUUUUAAGUCGGAUGUGAAAUCCCUGAGCUUAACUUAGGAAUUGCAUUCGAUACUGGGAAGCUAGAGUAUGGGAGAGAUGGUAGAAUUCCAGGUGUAGCGGUGAAAUGCGUAGAGAUCUGGAGGAAUACCGAUGGCGAAGGCAGCCAUCUGGCCUAAUACUGACGCUGAGGUACGAAAGCAUGGGGAGCAAACAGGAUUAGAUACCCUGGUAGUCCAUGCCGUAAACGAUGUCUACUAGCCGUUGGGGCCUUUGAGGCUUUAGUGGCGCAGCUAACGCGAUAAGUAGACCGCCUGGGGAGUACGGUCGCAAGNCUAAAACUUAAUGAAUUGACGGGGUCAUAGCUGUUUCCUG
rnacentral:rRNA from 1 species